rnacentral:rRNA from 1 species
UGGAAGCGUCUGGAAAGGCGCGCGAUACAGGGUGACAGCCCCGUACACAAAAAUGCACAUGCUGUGAGCUCGAUGAGUAGGGCGGGACACGUGGUAUCCUGUCUGAAUAUGGGGGGACCAUCCUCCAAGGCUAAAUACUCCUGACUGACCGAUAGUGAACCAGUACCGUGAGGGAAAGGCGAAAAGAACCCCGGCGAGGGGAGUGAAAAAGAACCUGAAACCGUGUACGUACAAGCAGUGGGAGCCUCUUUUAUGGGGUGACUGCGUACCUUUUGUAUAAUGGGUCAGCGACUUAUAUUCUGUAGCAAGGUUAACCGAAUAGGGGAGCCGAAGGGAAACCGAGUCUUAACUGGGCGUUAAGUUGCAGGGUAUAGACCCGAAACCCGGUGAUCUAGCCAUGGGCAGGUUGAAGGUUGGGUAACACUAACUGGAGGACCGAACCGACUAAUGUUGAAAAAUUAGCGGAUGACUUGUGGCUGGGGGUGAAAGGCCAAUCAAACCGGGAGAUAGCUGGUUCUCCCCGAAAGCUAUUUAGGUAGCGCCUCGUGAA